rnacentral:rRNA from 1 species
UACAGAGGUCCCAAGCGUUGUUCGGAUUCACUGGGCGUAAAGGGUGCGUAGGUGGCGGGGUAAGUCGGAUGUGAAAGCUCGGAGCUCAACUCCGAAAUGGCAUUGGAAACUACCUUGCUCGAGGGUUGGAGGGGGGGACUGGAAUGCUUGGUGUAGCAGUGAAAUGCGUAGAUAUCAAGCGGAACACCAGUGGCGAAGGCGAGUCCCUGGACAACUCCUGACACUGAGGCACGAAAGCUAGGGGAGCAAACAGG